AGGAGACCGUGACGUGCUGAUCCGGGGCUUGCAUCUGGUCGCUUGGGCCCCGGGGAGCGAGUAGCGAACCCUGCGCGGUGGUCC
rnacentral:ncRNA from 1 species